rnacentral:rRNA from 1 species
UACGACGGGGGCGAGCGUUGUUCGGAAUUACUGGGCGUAAAGGGCGCGCAGGCGGCUCAGACAGUCAGAUGUGAAAGCCCCGGGCUUAACCUGGGAACUGCAUUUGAUACUACUGAGCUUGAGUACGGGAGAGGAUAGUGGAAUUCCCAGUGUAGAGGUGAAAUUCGUAGAUAUUGGGAAGAACACCGGUGGCGAAGGCGGCUAUCUGGACCGUAACUGACGCUGAGGCGCGAAAGCGUGGGGAGCAAACAGG